UACGUAGGGUGCAAGCGUUGUCCGGAAUUAUUGGGCGUAAAGAGCUCGUAGGCGGUCUGUCGCGUCGGCUGUGAAAUCCCGAGGCUCAACCUCGGGUCUGCAGUCGAUACGGGCAAACUAGAGUAUUGCAGGGGAGACUGGAAUUCCUGGUGUAGCGGUGAAAUGCGCAGAUAUCGGGAGGAACAUCAGUGGCGAAGGCGGCUGCCUGGCCCAAUACUGACACUCAGGUGCGACAGCGUGGGGAGCAAACAGG
rnacentral:rRNA from 1 species